GUAUGUAUUUAGUCACUUAUAUAUUUUUGCAUAAUUUUGUAUUUAUGUCUUUGCAUUUUUCUAAUUCUUAUGCAUGUACAUAUGUACAUAUGUAUAUUGUAGCCUUGUUUUUAUGAAGCAAAUGCAUUUUCUUAUAUGAAAGUGUAUAAUUACUUAGGGUGAAAAGGUUUGCUAUUAGUCUUCAUUUUGAAUUGAAUAUUGUAACCUCACACAAAGACGUAAAAAGCCAAAUAAUUCCUUAAAAAUUAUUUUUGUGUUUGGAGUAUUUGACAGGGAUUGGUGGUUUGAAGCGAAUGUGGUGAGCGGUUGAAAAUUUCUUAAAAUUUGCAGCAAUUCAUCAUUUGCAUGGUCAGUUUGAUUUACUGUAAAGUAGAAUUCCACGAAACGAAACACUCCGAUCGUACAGUUUUGAUUGUAUUUGUCAUCGGCGUACGCCUUGUGUGUUUAAUUUAUCAGUUGUAAACUCAUUGAGGUAAUAGAAUAAUAAAAAAUUUGUUUACUGUAAUAACACUGUGCAACAGUGAAAGGGAACUCUUUAUGUGACUUGGUACAGAUGCGUAGUAGCUCUGGUCGAAACUAAGUGUAUAUGUAUGUUUAAAAAUUUUCUAAAACGCCGAGGCUUCCGAAUUAUUCUUUAAAAACAUUUUAACAUGACUUCGCAGAUUAAA